rnacentral:rRNA from 1 species
UGGGGAAUAUUGCACAAUGGGCGAAAGCCUGAUGCAGCAACGCCGCGUGAGUGAUGAAGGCCUUCGGGUUGUAAAGCUCUGUCUUUUGGGACGAUAAUGACGGUACCAAAGGAGGAAGCCACGGCUAACUACGUGCCAGCAGCCGCGGUAAUACGUAGGUGGCAAGCGUUGUCCGGAUUUACUGGGCGUAAAGGAUGCGUAGGCGGAUUUUUAAGUGAGAUGUGAAAUACCCGGGCUUAACUUGGGUGCUGCAUUUCAAACUGGGAAUCUAGAGUGCGGGAGAGGAGAAUGGAAUUCCUAGUGUAGCGGUGAAAUGCGUAGAAGAUUAGGAAGAACACCAGUGGCGAAGGCGAUUCUCUGGACCGUAACUGACGCUGAGGCAUGAAAGCGUGGGUAGCAAAACAGGAUUAGAUACCCUGGUAGUCCACGCCGUAAAACGAUGAGU